GUUUCUCUGCUAUUAGCAUAUUUAGCAGCAGGUACAUGAGGUUCAUUGACAGCACUAAGGCCUACCUCUUGGCUCUGAUUGGUUGUUUUUGGUUGGGAGUGGUGGAUGUUUUCAGACAACAUUACCGCAUGGAGAAUGUGGAGGAGAUAAAUUUUUUCCCACAGAUUAUCUAUCUUAUUACAUAUAAACACGACGUUUUGACUUAAAUAUGUAAAACACAUUUUUUAUAAAAGUUACAUACUGGACCUUUAAGCCGGGGAUCAUUGUGGUUAAUGCACUUACAAGUAGCUUUCUCUUUCUCUCUCUCUGCCCCCUUCAGUGUUUUUUUUUUUGUGUCGUUCUCUGGCAGUGCUACAGUGCCACCAACUGGCCCGGCAGACCUACUACAUCAUAUUCUAUGGCCUGCAACUUGUCUUGUGGGAUACAUGUAUUUUUCUUAAUCAAAAAUAUGCCAUAGUAUCUAACAGUUCCAAAACAAUUUGAGCUCCAAGAUCACAACAAGCAAAAAUGCAGACCAUCUAUUUUUACAGAUCAGUUCAAAACUUGCUGGUGGACAAGCAAGUUUGAACGGUAAAGGUGGGCAAACUUUAAAAACUUCUCUUUGGAGGUUUUGCUCUAACCAUUUCAACGCUUCCUUGUUGACAUAAUUACGCUGUUUUGCUUUGAGAGUUUUUCUCCAUCAUUUUAAAACCUGAUGACGAGCAACAGUUCAUAAUUACGAAGGUGAAGAAUUGCUGUUGAAUGUUUUCACAACAGCAGUUCGGCUGUUUGAUAAAAUUAUUAUUUUUGACGAUUCAAAGGCUUAGUCUCACUGACGAGACUAAAGCUACAAAAUCCUCACACACUGAAAUAAUUUCUGUUUACGGAGAAGACUCGGCGGAGCGCGGGGUCGAUGCUAAAUUGCUCUUCACAUCUGCAUGAGGAUAAAAUUCUGUUGGCAGCUCAGCUGUCUCCAUGGCGAUACAGUAGAGGAUAACAACAGCGUGCGUGGGAGGAGUGACAGAGGACUCUGACUGUGUCAACAUACCGUUGCUCCACCAAACAAGCAGGUGACUCAGGGCCUUUCAGCAACUCCAGAGUUGGGAUAAAUUAGAGGCAGUAACUGCCUGAGAGGAAACCGGGUGAGUCUCAUGGUCCUCGCCUACAGUAAACCUGGAAAUAGUAGGUGGAUAGAUAUUUACACAUUUUACAUUUUGACUCCGUUCCAAAGCACAGACGGAUGUUGUAACAAAUAGAGUAAAACUGUCAGGUCAUUGCCCUGUAGCAAGAGAACUGAACUUCCUGCUAAAACACCCGACUGUCUUAUUUAGCUAAGAGUCACCAGAGGGAGCUUCCUGGGUUCAAGUAUCCACCGCUUUCUAUGCCGGCCUCUUCUUCUGCGCUCGGAGCGGAUAGCUGCGCUGACUCUGUGAUAUAAGUGAAGCAAACUGACCCCAUGAACCUGGUCUGGUGCCAGGUAAAGGAAAGUGCUGGAACAGGUUGACAGUGGGACCCAUUGUUCAUUGUGGUGGGAGGCCAAGGUCACAACAGACUGCGGAAGGACGGACGCUUGGCCAAAGAUCUGCCACGAGACUAAUAUGAGGAAACACGCCCUUUGAUAUGAAGUGGCAGGAUUGUGAUUUAGUAAUUCUCCCGAAAAAAAAAAAUUAGGUAAGGAUAUCUUGCGAAUGAGGACUGUGUUUAAUAAAUGCGUGAGAUACCACUUUAACUUCCA